CGGUGGCUAAGAAGGCGGCUGUGGUGGCAGCGGUGGCGGCUGAGGCAGUAGCUGAGGCGGCGACAGAGGAAGCAGAAGAUGGCAGAUUUUUUGAAAGGACUGCCAGUCUACAACAAAAGCAAUUUUAGUCGAUUUCAUGCUGACUCUGUGUGUAAAGCCUCGAAUCGACGCCCCUCAGUCUACCUGCCCACGUGCGAGUACCCAUCUGAACAGAUCAUCGUGACAGAAAAAACAAACAUCCUUUUGCGCUACCUACAUCAGCAAUGGGACAAAAAGAACGCUGCCAAGAAGAGAGACCAGGAGCAAGUGGACCUCAAGGGCGAGAGCUCAGCGACUCCCCACAAGGUCGCACGGACCGACAGCCCAGACAUGCACAUGUCAGACCCAGUAGUGUGA